rnacentral:lncRNA from 1 species
ACUUCUAAUACUACUAUGACACUGCCAUAAUAAUACAAUAUAACAAUAAUCACAUAAUAAUUAUAAUAUGAAUGUUAUCAUAAUAUAAUAUAAUCAUUAUAGUCUGUCCAUAUUGAUUACCAAAUUUCUUUAACAUAGAUAUACAAUACAUCAUUAUAGAAAAUUCUAAUAGUACAUUAGAAUAUCAUCAAGUUAAAAAAGCAGACAUAAACCCAACCAAUAUAUUUCAUAGGAACCUGAAUCCCAUCAAUGCAGUUAAUAAAUAUAUUUAAAGAAACAAAGAAUAUGAGUAGAGGCUGAGUCAAUGUUGAGGAGGUGUUAGCUUUUGUGUGUUUGUGUGUGUGUGUGUGUGUGUGCGUGAGAGAGAGAGAGAGAGAGAGAGAGAG